GCCAGCUCAUUUGGUAGAGCAUGAGGCAUUUGGUAGUGGGUAGAGCAUUUCAGGGUCGUGGGUUCAAGCCCCACAUUGGGCA